AACAGGGCCGAGACUCCUCCUUCUAAUCUGAGUCUAAACACAGAGAUCACAGCUUCUUUCCUCUUUCUACUCACAGUGACUCAACACUGCAGAUAUGACGCCUCUGUUCAUCUCAGUGCUGCUGGCUGCUCUGUGUCUUGAAGGCAGAGCACAACAAGACACUGUGCUGCAACCAGAAGGAGACGUGACUGCGACUGAAGGAGAAGCAGCAACACUUGGCUGUCGAUACGUCAGCAGCUCAGCAAGUGCAUCUCUCCUCUGGUACAAACAGGAAGGAACCAACAGCCCAAAAUUCAUCCUGAGCCACUUUCAACUGGGAGAAGGAAACAAGGCAGACGACUUCAGAGAGAGAUUUUCAUCCACACUGAAUUCCACAUCAUUUCCUCUGAAGAUCCAGAAGCUGCAGCCGUCUGACUCUGCUGUGUACUACUGUGCUCUGCAGCCCACAGUGACAGGAAACUACACAACUCUGUACAAAAACCUGUGGAGCAAAGACAAUACUCCUCUUCCUCCACCAGAGGGAGUCACUCACUGUUACUCUCACAACCUGAGCUGAGCCACUGCACCAACCUCAGAUCAAGUGAACUGAUUUGGUCCAAGAUAUUACGACACAUACACCAAACCAGUUUUCAGCAGAACUUCAACAGACUCCACAGAUUUGAGUUAAAGCCUCAAAUCCCGUCUGUCUCCAUCCUCCCAUCACUCAGCAGCCUCACAGGAAGCAACGGAAGAGAAGCUCAGAAAUGACAAGUUCAGUGGAAAAAGACGAUUGAAAUAAAGUUCAUGAAGUGAGAUUCAACUGAGAAAACGUGAACAACAACAUGUGUAGGAAAUGUAAAACCAACUGGUCCAAUGUUUCAGGAAUCUCAGAGAAUUUGGAGUCAUUUGAAUAUGAACGUUGAUGCUGUCAUGUGGCUUUUCAGACAAUAUCUUACAAGACACUUUAUUGUUCAGAAAUGUGUCACAAGUACAAGAAAGAAACAGAAAGUUGAACCCAAUAACAGGUUUGUGUGUUUGAGCUGAAAGCUGCAGAAUCAACAGACGUGUGGUUUAGGUGUUGGUAACAAGCAGUGAUAUGAGAGGACGGACAGAGAGGGAGGAGCAACACUGUCAAAGAGCAGAGCAGAAAAGACCUCCUGCUGUGCUGCAUUCAAUAUCUACACCAGACAUCAGAUAGUGUCUGUAAGAUGUUCCCUCUGCGUCACGCUGGAGUCUGGCCUUUGUUUCUCUUCAUCCUGAAAGGUCGGUCAAAGCAGGAAU